UUCUGUGAAGCCGGCCUGUGAGGGAUCCGGUGGAGAGAUCACUAGUGAGAAUGAUGACAUGAGUAGCGACAAAGAGUGUGAGAGACACUCUCGCCGAAAGUCCAAGGGUUCCUGCUUAAAGCUAAUCUGAGCAGGGUAAGCCGACCCCUAAGGCGAGGCCGAAAGGCGUAGUCGAUGGGAACCAGGUUAAUAUUCCUGGGCCAGGAGGAUGUGACGGAUCGCAGAGGUUGUUCGCCCUUAUCGGAUUGGGCGGGCCGCUGAGCGGUUCCUGGAAAUAGCCCUCCAUGAGAUCGUACCCUAAACCGACACAGGUGGACAGGUAGAGAAUACCAAGGCGCUUGAGAGAACGAUGUUGAAGGAACUCGGCAAAAUACCUCCGUAAGUUCGCGAGAAGGAGGCCCGUUCAGAAGGCAACUUUUGGGCGGGGGCACAAACCAGGGGGUGGCGACUGUUUACUAAAAACACAGGGCUCUGCGAAGUCGCAAGACGACGUAUAGGGUCUGACGCCUGCCCGGUGCCUGAAGGUUAAAAGGAGGGGUGAGAGCUCUGAAUUGAAGCCCAGGUAAACGGCGGCCGUAACGAUAACGGUCCUAAGGUAGCGAAAUUCCUUGUCGGGUAAGUUCCGACCU
rnacentral:rRNA from 1 species